rfam:Myotis brandtii contig307293, whole genome shotgun sequence.
CAGUGUUCAUCAUGGCAAUCAGAUGGCACCAGGACAAAUGGAGCUCUGGCCAGUGUGGGGCCUAGCAGUGCAGGAGGGGAGAUCCUGAAGGAGAAAGACUGCCUAAAUUGAAGCCUGCCAAUUGAAUUUCCAGAGUCUUAGGAGGAGAAAAUUCUCCA